rnacentral:rRNA from 1 species
CCCAGCAGCCAUAUCACCCUGCAACUCACAACUGACAACCCACUGAAGCUACGCAGGUGUGAGCCUAACCAGUACCUGGAUGGGAGACCUCCUGUGAAAAACUGAAGUUGCUGCUGGAA